CCUCUCUCUUCUUCCUCCUAAUCUCGCUUGUUAUAUAUACAAAUAAGUAUGUAUAACAUAUAAUUAUCUAACCAAUAUAUAUAUAUAUAUAUAAAUCACCUCUUUCACUUUUUACUCUCUUACUUUUUGUCCUUUCUUCUUCCUAAUAUGUAGCUACGAAUUGUAAUUAUCAAAUUAUAUCAUUAAACUAUGUUUUAGUGGCUAUAUGCUAAAAUCUCCAAUAAAAUACCUCUCUUUUCGUCAAAAAAACCACCUCUUCCAGAACCCCAUAAUCGGGCAGCCUUGUAUUUUGUGAACUUCGACCGGCGACAUCUCUCAGUGACGGCGUCAGUGACGGCAUCAGCGACUGUGUGUGGACGAACCUUCUUCCGUCUAGUACUGAACAACUUUCAGUAGUGAGAACAAAUGGUGAGGCCUUACAAAGUAAAAGGGGAAAAAGGAAAAGAAAGAAGACAAUUAUGAUAAAGAAGAAAUAGAGGAAUCUCUGUACGACGACUCAACAGGAUCAGCAAAAAGAGUGAAAACACAACAUACUGCCUCAGACACUGAGGCAGCUGAAAGAGUUGUAGAUUUACUAGCUGGCAUACCGGUUGUUUUACCGAUCAAAGCACUAAACCUAGAAAUUGGAAAGACUUAUCAACUUCUGAACUCAGAUGAACACUCCCAACUUUCUGAGGAAGAAUAAUCAAAAUCCUUCUGAAUAUCGGCCUGAUAUUGCUCAUCAGGUUAGUGGACUUUGAAACUAUUGGCCCAAUCUUGUUCUUUAUUACUCAUAAUAGUGUAAACACUGUGACCUUCCUAUAGCGUUCAGAUUAAACUUUGUCCUUUGAGGCAAUAUUUAAAUGUGGGGCAUAGGUUUUGACUGAUGUCCAAAUGUUUGUAAACUUUUUGUGGAGAUGUCUGGUUGAGUGGUAUGCAAAGCUAAAACAGGCAGGCUGGAACACAAUUUAGCUUUGUACUGAAUGUGUGUGAAUUUUCCUGGAGCUCAAUUAGUUGACACCAAAACACACUCCCUCUGUCCAAUUUGAUGAUAUUUGUCUGGACAAGAUUUAAAAAGUAAGGAAGAGUUUUGACACAUAAGCUAAAUAUGUAUAAAGGACCAAGACUAUCCUCAGUAUAAAAGUAUUUGUUUAUGUGUCUAGUGGAGUCAUGACAAGUCAUGUCACUGGGACGAACGAAACAGUAAAAGAUGUAGGAAAUAGGGAAUGGAAGUGCAAAAAUUCGCUUUUAAAAAUAUAAGAUGACAAUCUUUUUUGAUGAAAAAGAACGGGAGGAUUCACUUAGUUUUUCAACAUACGUUCAACAAUUAUGUGUCCCACAGGCCAAAAAAGGAAAAAGAAAAAUUAAUAUGAAAAGUCAGAUGCCUUCUCCACCCACCACCCUCCAGUACUCUUGCAACUCAGCCUCUCUCUAUGCUAAUAGAGCUGUGCCUCUCUGUUCCAUUUUCUUAGUUCUUUUAGUAAGUUACAUCACCUUGCUUCUGCUCUAAUUGUGUCUGAUUCAGAUUCUUAGUACUUGUUGGCACUGUAGUAGAAAUGAGUUGCAGUGCACCACUGAGACUUCCUUUUUAGUAUACAUUUUCUUGUUGAAACAGUUCUCCAAAAAACUUUUUCAAACAGAUUCUCCCCUCCCAUUCCCUUCCCUAAAAGAAGAGAAAAUCUAUAAGCAACAACUACGCCCUGGUCUCAGUCUAGUGGGGGUUGACUAAUGUGAGUCCUCACUAUCCAUGUUGCUCCAUGUAAACCUGUCUCCAUCCAAUAUCUGUAAAUUUAAGGUUAUAGCACUAAAAGUAUUACCUUUACUAGCAUUUAAAUAUCUACUAAACGGCUCAUGCAAGACAUUAGACCCAAAGAAACAUACCAAUAUGACUAAAGCUUGAUUACUAGAGUCUUUCAAGGUCAGGACAAUAACAACUGUUUGGAAGAUUCAUAGAAAGGGCAACUUCACGGUAAAGUCAUGUUACUUCCGCUUGAAUUCUGGUGAGCAGCACAGGAAUCUUGGAGAUGUUACCUAUGUGGAGACAAGCCUGAGGGUAUCAAUCAUUUAUUUUGCACUAUAAUCCUAUGGACCAUCUAUGGAACUCUUUCUUAAUAUGGUGGGACUAAAAUGGAGCAUGCCAGGGUGUACCUGUGAGCUACUAAAAUGCUGGAGCAUCAUAGGCAAAAAUUUCUAUCACAGGAAUUGGGUGGCUAACCAUUCUGUCUUGUAUAUGGUGGACAGUUUGGAGGGAGUGAAGCACCAGGUGUUUUGAAGAAACAGGCAAUGUUACCAUUUCAGAUAGCCGCGUAAAUAAAGCUGGGCGAUUGAAAGCGUUAUAUGUGAAGACUGAAAAAGUGGUCCUCUUUGAAGUAAAACCUCAUGUUAGGGCAAUGGUCCAUGGAAAAAUUGAGAAAGAUUUCGAAGAUUAUCUAUCAAUUUCCGAUUACUCAAUGAGUGCUGCCUACUGCAUAUCAAUGAUCACAAAUGCUGUGGAGCACAAAUGGAAAAUUUUGUAGACUUGUACCUUUCUCUGAUUUUUGUUGCUACAUUUAGUUUCUAGAAUGUCAUCUUAAUUUCACAUUUAUUCUAUUUUUAAAUUUAAAUAUAUUUUAUUUCUCUCUUUUUUUUGUCCCUUGGUCAUUUAAGUUUCAUAUCAAUGCAAUGAAGGAUUAGUUGGUAAUCCAACUUUCUCCGGUCAAUAAUUUAGUGGAGUUGGCCUUUUCUUGAAAGAUUAAGAAGGUGAUAUUUGACUUUUUGUAUGGAUUGGUCAUUUUGAAAUGUUUGCAGCAAUAUACUAUUCUGGGUAUUUAUGGGGAAAAAAAGUAUGUAGAAUGAGUUGCACUUUCUUCUAAUUGGAAUAAAUAAGGUUGACACAUUCCAAGUACGUAGAAGUUUCGGAUUUGACUGACAAAUUUGUUUUUCUGGAAAACGAUGGGAGCGUUCUAAUUUAAAAGUACUUUUUUCAUAUCACAUUCAAAUUAGUUGCAUUAUCUUUAAAAUAAAAAACAAAGAACUUUUUCCGAAAAGACUACUCAUUUUAUUUAUAGUGUGAAUUUAAAUACUUUUUAAAAAAAAAAA